rnacentral:rRNA from 1 species
AUUGAACGCUGGCGGCAUGCCUUACACAUGCAAGUCGAACGGCAGCAUGAUCUAUCUUGCUAGAUUGAUGGCGAGUGGCGAACGGGUGAGUAAUACAUCGGAACGUGCCCUGUAGUGGGGGAUAACUAGUCGAAAGAUUAGCUAAUACCGCAUACGACCUGAGGGUGAAAGUGGGGGACCGCAAGGCCUCAUGCUAUAGGAGCGGCCGAUGUCUGAUUAGCUAGUUGGUGAGGUAAAGGCUCACCAAGGCGACGAUCAGUAGCUGGUCUGAGAGGACGAUCAGCCACACUGGGACUGAGACACGGCCCAGACUCCUACGGGAGGCAGCAGUGGGGAAUGUUGGACAAUGGGCGAAAGCCUGAUCCAGCAAUGCCGCGUGUGUGAAGAAGGCCUUCGGGUUGUAAAGCACUUUUGUCCGGAAAGAAAUGGCUCUGGUUAAUACCUGGGGUCGAUGACGGUACCGGAAGAAUAAGGACCGGCUAACUACGUG